rnacentral:rRNA from 1 species
GGGGUUUUCGGACCUAGCGGCGGACGGGUGAGUAAUGCGUAGGAAGCUACCCGAUAGAGGGGGAUACCAGUUGGAAACGACUGUUAAUACCGCAUAAUGUCUACGGACCAAAGUGUGGGACCUUCGGGCCACAUGCUAUCGGAUGCGCCUACGUGGGAUUAGCUAGUUGGUGAGGUAAUGGCUCACCAAGGCGACGAUCCCUAGCUGGUUUGAGAGGAUGAUCAGCCACACUGGAACUGAGACACGGUCCAGACUCCUACGGGAGGCAGCAGUGGGGAAUAUUGGACAAUGGGCGCAAGCCUGAUCCAGCCAUGCCGCGUGUGUGAAGAAGGCCUUCGGGUUGUAAAGCACUUUCAGUAGGGAGGAAGCGUUGUGUGUUAAUAGUACACAGCGUUGACGUUACCUACAGAAGAAGCACCGGCUAACUCUGUGCCAGCAGCCGCGGUAAUACAGAGGGUGCAAGCGUUAAUCGGAAUUACUGGGCGUAAAGCGCACGUAGGCGGUUUUUUAAGUCAGAUGUGAAAGCCCCGGGCUCAACCUGGGAAUUGCAUUUGAAACUGGAAAACUAGAGUGUGUGAGAGGGGGGUAGAAUUCCAAGU